rnacentral:rRNA from 1 species
CUACGGGUGGCUCCAGUGGGGAAUAUUGCACAAUGGGGGAAACCCUGAUGCAGCAACGCCGCGUGGAGGAUGACGCAUUUCGGUGUGUAAACUCCUUUUAUAUAGGAAGAUAAUGACGGUACUAUAUGAAUAAGCACCGGCUAACUCCGUGCCAGCAGCCGCGGUAAUACGGAGGGUGCAAGCGUUACUCGGAAUCACUGGGCGUAAAGCGCGCGCAGGCGGCCCCUUAAGUUGGAUGUGAAAGCCUACGGCUUAACCGUAGAACUGCAUCCAAAACUGAGGGGCUAGAGUCUGGGAGGGGAAGAUGGAAUUAGUUGGGUAGGGGUAAAAUCCGUAGAGAUAACUAGGAAUACCAAAGCGAAGGCGAUCUUCUGGAACAGUACUGACGCUGAGGCGCGAAAGCGUGGGGAGCAAACAGGAUUAGAUACCCCUGUAGUC